rnacentral:rRNA from 1 species
AUAGCGUAUAUUAAAGUUGUUGCAGUUAAAAAGCUCGUAGUUGAACCUUGGGCCUGGCUGACCGGUCUGCCUCACCGUAUGCACUGGUUUGGUCGGGCCUUUCCUUCUGGGUAGCCACAUGCCCUUUAUUGGGUGUGUUGGGGAACCAGGACUUUUACUUUGAAAAAAUUAGAGUGUUCAAAGCAGGCCUAUGCUCGAAUACAUUAGCAUGGAAUAAUAGAAUAGGACUUGCGGUUCUAUUUUGUUGGUUUCUAGGACCGCAGUAAUGAUUAAUAGGGAUAGUCGGGGGCAUCCGUAUUCAAUUGUCAGAGGUGAAAUUCUUGGAUUUAUUGAAGACGAACUACUG